UUGUUAUGAUCUUGUAUUGWAAUUUCAUGAUGCAGCAUUAAUGGAACUGCAUGAAAAGAUAUUCUUGAAACGGCAUGUCAAAGAUGGUGAAAGCCCAAUGGCUUCAUGUGCUUUCUGUGCACGGUCUGCAUUUGGUGAUUCACAUUCCUUGGCAAUGGAAUGCAAACAGGUGGUAAAUUCCAUCCAAUAUAACAAUACAACAUUGAGGCUGAUAACAAACAAGUACCAUGAGGGAAAUAUGAAAAGGACUUUGGAAAGAGAAUUAAAAGAGUUUGCAUUUGCUUGGCAUAAAACAAAUUAAUGUUGUCAUGGCCAAAAGAUUGUUGCAUUUCUGGGUGUGUGCCAACAUUGCUCAGCAAGUGUAAUGCUUCUUUCCCCCCACAAAGCUGUUGCAUUCAUGGAUCAUUCUUGUUUGGUGCUGGCAAUAUGUGUUGCAUAGUGGUGCUCUGUUUGCAUUUCUGAUUUCUGAUGUUAUGCGCACGCCUUUUGAAGCUGGACAGACAUGGCUGGGUGGUUUGUGUAUCUUCUUGGAGGAGUGGCUUGUGUGCUGACAAAGAAGGUUGCUUGACCCGUCUUGAAACACGGACCAAGGAGUCUAACAGACGUGCAAAAGAAUGAUUUAAACUGUGGCAAAACUGAAAGUAAGAGUUAGCAUGUGUGCUCCAACGGCCAAAUGCUUGGUAGACACGCAUUUGAAUUUGAGCAUGUUUGUUAGGACCCGAAAGAUGGUGAACUAUGCUUGAUCAGAA
rnacentral:rRNA from 1 species